CCGAAACUUUGAUUCCCUUUUCUUUUUUCUUUGCAGGAGCAGAGAUCCGAGGAAAUCCCGAAGCCACCCCAGCCCCCACCAAAGGCAGGAGCAUCAAAGAGGAGCUGAAGACUUUGGGUUGCUUGCCCUCUGUGGAUGCCCUAGGAAGAGACUGAAGUCAUGUGGAGAAAAUAGGAACCUGUGGGCCUCUGCCUUUGGGGAUUUCUGAAUUAUCUUCGUCAACAGGUUGCCUCUGCUGUUGUUUCCCUGCUCUGGUUUGUUCCUGAGAUAUCUACCCCCGACCCCAUCCCACCCCCUGCCUUUCCCUUCAGGCUCUUCCACCUUCCAGCUCCUAAGAAGCCAGAGGGAACAUUGGAGCUAAUUCUUUUUAUAUUCUCUCUGGUCUAAGCUGUAGCAGUUUCAGUUCCACCAGAUCCUGGAGCCAUUUUGUAGAGGAGUUGGGGUGGGAGUUGAGGAAAUUCUCCUUGACCAGAGGGCAAAACCCAGACCUGAGCCUGAGCUGAUGGGUCAGAUCGACUUUCUGCUUUGGGUGGGCAGUGCGAGUAGGCCAGCUCUGGGCAGAGGCCAAGGGACAUUCUGUCCAGUGGCAAGUCAACAAGUCAAGUAAACAAGUGCUUGCUGAGCAUCUGUUUUGUGCCUGGUCCUGUGCCAGACAACAUUCCCUGAGAAGGUCAACUGGAGCAUCCCUGUUCCUAGGAGGUAGCCAGAAGGAUCUGAUCUAGGAGGAUGUCCUGUAGGCAUAGUGACUGAACCAACCACUGACCUAUUUGACGCAGGAAGGUUGCAGGUUUGGAUCGUUCUGCCCAGUGUCUUGGCAUUUUGAAGAUCCCAGCCUGCCCUGGAGGGCAUCGGUGCCCUUUGCCAAGUGUGGAGGGUGAAGUAUCUGGACUGGAUGGACAGCCAGGACGAGGAGGGGCAUCUUAGACCUUCCUGUCUCCUCCUGCUCAGACAGGCCACAGACACUGCCGGCAGGAGAACGGCUCACCAUCUUAGUUGCCUCUCACCAGCAGCCACCGGCUCAGACCAGUUGUUCUAGGGAAGGAGCUGUAGGAUUUCUAGGGCACCUCACAACCCCACCCUCUCUGGGCCUAGGAGAGCAGGGUGGAGACUGUCAGCUCCCAGGGUCUGCGAUGAGAGAUUCUGGGACUAGAUUUCAGUUCAGCGCUGAAAGUGACUGACUACACACACAAGGUAUCCUCUGGGCAAUACAGCCGAUCCAUCUGGUUCCUCUCUCACCGAGCCAGGAAGGAGAGAAGGGGACCCUGGUCUGGCCUGGGAAAAUCUGAGGGACCCGGUGAGGGAUGAAAAAGGACUCAACCUAGGCCCCACAGGCGUGCUCUGGAAAUGUGAGGCUCACUCUGACCUUUCGUGUUGUACUGGAGCUGAGGUGAGCUGGCCAAACUGGCAGGGGGUCAAUGAGGAAGGACUUCUUUGGGUGAAGGUGCAUGUGCCAGCAUACCGGGAAGCACCAGAGGCUAGCUAGAGCCUGCUGGGCCCCUCCGACCCUGCACUCCCCCAAUCCAUACCCCUACGAUCCACGGCCAUGGAACACCCCCCUGGCACC